GGAAGGGGGUGACACUGGGAGGGUGCAUUUAAAAAAAAAAUUCUGAAAAGCCUGCAAACGGAUCGAAGAGUGAAAACUAUUGUUGGAACGAGUUGGUUUUUACCUCAACAGCGCCACCUUUCGGCAAAGGGUUCUUCCUUAGGAUUCCAUACCCAGCAUUUAGUGAAAUACUUCUCUGUUUUGCACGGGUGGUGUGAGAAUUCUCAGGAUAUGAUAUCUGGCCCAGUGCUCUUCUCUUUCAUCUGAUGAAAACACCCUGUAAGGGCUGGUGACAGGAGGGGUUUCGUGAAUGGUUCUGUGCACCCACGGACAUCGGAGUGAAAGGACUUCUUUCGGUUUGAAGCAAUAGACAGUUAUAAAAUGAUGGGCCUAUUUCCCCUCUCUUUCCAUUCCAAAUUAACACACUUCCAUGGUUUUCUUUUUCUUUUUUUUUUCUUUUUUCCUUUUUUUAGGGCACUGCAGUCUUCUUAGAUUUUUUUUUUCUUUUCUUUCCAUUAGGGACUGAUUAUGAUUCACUUUUCCAUUGUCAUCCCUUUUGAUCCUAUUCACUGCUUAUACCGGUGAGGGAAUUUGUCUCGAAAGCAUGCAACCCUUCAAAGAUUUUCAUUGUGGUGAACUCAGAACUGAUUAAAAAAUAAAUAAAACAGGAAUAAAUAAAAGGACCUGAUGUCAGAACAA